AGAAAGUUAGUCUAACUAAGACAAUUGACUUCGGCUCAAUAAAUCAUAGUAGCACCCUAUGACUUUCUC